GCUAAGACUCAGAAUGGUAGGUUUUUGUUCUAUCAACAAGUCAACCUUCAGGCUUCUAUAUAUUGUUGUUCAAAGUAUAUUUAAUAACCCCUUCCAUCUCUCAACUCAACUCAACUCAACUCUAUAUAUUGACUCAGCAAUAUCAAGCAUCAAAGCACAUCAACUCUAUAAAUCAAGCAUGUGCAAUCAAGUCCGGGCACAGAAGGCAUGUCUUAGCGUCGAUUCUUGCAGUUUUUUCUUCCUUGUGUGUCACUGUUGACCUGCAUAGAUCAGUGUAUCGGGUGAUACUGAGUAAUACCUCGUCUUGGUGGCAACUUCCGUAAAAUGAAAAGGACCAAAAUCGAAGGUAAUAUCUCCACCAACUGCCCAAUAAAAGAAAACAAAACGAAAAGAAAAAGUUUCUGAGGAUAGUUGAAUGCCAUCUUUGUAAUCAACAUCAAGAAACAACAUUAAAAUACUUAUAUAUAUAUAUAUAUAUAUAUCAUCAAUUUCAGUAAUUCCUCCCCAUUUUGGUAGCAAAAUAGAAAAAAAAGUUCAGUCAGUUUUCUUUCAAUUUCCCUAUUUUAGAGAGCUAUAUAUAUAUAUACAUGUUCAACAGAGAUACCUAGAAGUUAGCCUCUAGCCUUUUAUAUAAACAUAAGCAAUUAAAAGAAAGAGAAAAGAAUUAGCAAGACAUGAAGAAAAUAUUAUCAACUAUACUCUCAGGUAAAAUUAUUAUCCCCAAAGUUCGAGAACUAGUUUGCAAAUAAUGAUAACAUAAAGUCGCAACUCACAACUGCAUCUAAAAAUUUCUUCCACAUAACAAUCUGAUGGCAAAGUCUUAUAAAUUGCUUACGAAAUUUAUUGAAAUAUGCAUUAAAUUUAGCAGCAAAAUAAACAAGGAAACAAGGAAGUGGCAAUCUUCUCGGUUUUCCUAUGUCAAUGAAAAGGGUUAAGCAACCUCCACACUGUAUUUCAAUAUGAUUGUUUCAAUCAUGAGAAAAUUAGAAACAUGAAGAAAUAUUUAUUAAACAUACCAGGUAAUAUAUGAAGUUUAGAACUGGAUGGUUCAGAACAUUAAGAUCAGCAGCUUUAUCAAAUGCAUCAAAGCACAUCUAAAACAAAAAUUAACAAUGGAGCUCGAAUUAGCAAACGCUUUGGACAAACAUCAUCAUAAAUGAGCAAAGUCCAAGAUAUGAAAUUCAGUAAGAUGCAUACUACUUAAUCACCAUUGAUUAAUCAAAUAGAUUAGCAAUUUAAACCAACUAGUAGCUAAGGUUCAACUAAAAUGCUUUCAUUUUGAAACAAAAGUGCUAUAACAUUAUGGGAAAAUAUUUGGUACACUGCAAGUGGAGUUUUUAGACUCCACAAGCACAGUUAGGGGGUUGACAAGUAUCGUAUAGAGGUACAGUAAAAUAUUAAAAAAAUAAAUAUUUUUAAAAAAGACACAUGGAAAUUUUUAGGGUUGCUUAUGCAAUAAAAACAAAUACACUGCCAGUGUACCAAAUACUAACCCUAACACUAUACAUACCUAAAAGUUUCACAAAAGCCUAACAAAACGUGCUUGUAGUAUUGUCAAUUUGAGAUGUGUAGUGUUAGUAAAGCCAGAAAGGAGAUUAAUAAUCUACCAUAAUGCAUCUGACUAGGAAACAUGAGGAGCACAUGACAGUCACAUAACCAACCUGCCAAAUACAAAAAGAAAUAACAAUAAAAAAUUGUAAAUAGAAGUUCAAAUCGUUGUACUUAAAAACCACAUCUACUUCCAAAGUAAAUAUGUACUUCUUGCAGCUUAUUUUGUCGCCCUUUGGACUCUACAGGGAAUCGCUGCAACAUUAAGAAAAGCCUGCAAGGAUUGAACUUAUUACAUAUAGAUAUACAUAGAGAGAGAGACAGAGAGAGAGAAUUUCAAGGUAUAUAUAUAGUAUGGUUACAAUGUUCUCUUACAAAUGAAUGGGAGAAACUGUAAUUACGGCAUAAAUGAAAUGAAUAGAACAAAAAGGGUCAACCAUAA